CUAAGAUUAGAGAUUAUAAAAAGUAAGAAAGAGCGAGAUGGAAAGCAAGAGAAGUAAAACAGGGGAAGAUGCAAAAUAUUCAUAUUUACCAGAUGAAUGCUGGCAAUAUGUGUUGAAAUUAAUGAUGAACGGUGGUGACUCGGAGGAGUGGAAACAUAAACGUCAGAUGAAACGUUGCUUGAAGUCUAUCUCCGGCGACUACUCACAUAAACGUAACUUGAAGUCUAUCUCCGUCGUCUCUAAGCAGUUGUUGUCCAUCACCAACAGAAUCCGAUCAUCUCUCACUAUAUAUGAUCCGACAACCCCUUUCCUAUCCCGCCUGUUCCAUAGAUUCACAAACCUUACCUCCCUCGACCUCAGUUACUUCCACGGCGACCUAGAUGCACUUCUCCAUCAGAUCUCUACUUUUCCAUUCAACCACCUCCUAUCACUCAAUCUCUCUCACAAACCUACUAUUCCCGCUUCUGCUUUACUAGCUUUCUCUAACAAAAUUACAACUUUAACCUCUCUCAUUUGUUACGACAUAGAUUCUUUCAAAAGCACUCACUUGUUACUCAUCGCCCAAUGUUUCCCUUUACUAGAACAACUCGAACUCGAUAUUACUGAAAAUCUUAUGUAUGAGGAUCCCGAACGCAAUUCUUUCAAAAACUUCUUCCAUGGAAUUGAGGUUCUUUCCUUGUCACUUUCCAAACUCCGCAAGCUUAAUCUCUCUGGCCAUUAUUAUAUCGAUGACAAAUCCAUUUUUCACUUGUUUAACAACUGCAAGCUCCUACAAGACCUCACCGCGCCUCAUUGUUUUCGUAUAACCAAACAAGGACUUGUUUAUGCUAUCCGUCAGAAACCAACAGCAUUGAGGUCUUCCUUUGAACAGGUUUUCCAUUCGCCAUUGCGAUGGCUAUACUUAUGCUGGACUAUUUACUUUGUUAUCCAAAUGUCAAUCUAUCCAACAUUUAGAUCUUGUUUCAGUUUCAUUUUUGAAUGAUCCUCAUCUUAUCCACUUGUCUUCACAUCUCCUCGCUUUGGUGUCUCUAAGCCUUAGACAUUGUUUUAUGCUCACACAGUCAGUUUUGUUUACACUUGUUAGGAAAUGUCCUUCACUCACUCACAUCGAAAUGGAAGAGAUUGGGGGUAAGACUCUACUGAAUUAUUACCAUGAUUUUGGACUAUACCCUCAAUUAAACUCUCUCUAUUUGCCUAACAAUUCAUGGUUAACUGAUCAAACCAUCAUAAUGUUUGUUUCUGCUUUCCCCAAUUUGCACAUGCUUGAUUUGAAAUCUUGCAAAAACAUAUCGCUACAAGCUAUUGUUCAAGUUUUAAACAGAUGCCAAAGGAUAACUCAUUUGGAUUUAUCAUUCUGUAACUUAAAUUCACCACUCAAUCUACUUGAAAUGAACUUUCCAGUUCCCCACCUCAAGAUGCUAAACUUGACGGCUUCACAAGUUGACGAUGCAACACUCUAUGUCAUCUCAAAAAAUUGUUCUGGGCUUUUGCAAUUGUUAUUAAUUGAUUGUUCUCGAUGCACACACAAGGGAGUGAAACAUGUGGUAGACAACUGCACGCAACUCAGAGAGAUCAAUUUGGAUUACUGUUUGAAUGUGCACCCCAAUCUUCCUGCCUCAAUGUUAUUUUCAAGUCCAUCCUUGAGAAAGAUAACGGCUCCACUUCAUAUUCAUUUCACUGAAAAUGAGAGGAAACUCCUCUUGCGUCAAGGAUGCCUUGUUUGCUGAAGUUUGAAUUUCUGAAAUGUAACAUGUCUUUGUUUUCAUAUUUACUUAUGUUCUGGAUUGGGCAACACUUCCAUGAGGAAUUGUUUUUAAUUAAAUUAUUUCUGUUUAUAUGUGUAUUUCCUCAUCCGUUUGUGCAUGAUAAUUGCUUUUGUAUUUGUGAAAGAUUUCAUAUUUUGUAUAAUAAUGCACAAAGCAAUGCAUGCAAUUUGGUAAUCUAUGUAGUUUUAAAUUGUAUUUCUUUUCUUGGCUUUGCCUUUGAUUAUGUCACUUGAUAAGAUUCUUUUGUCAUAUUUGUUUCCACUAAGUGAUGUGAGAAUUACUCAACACCUUAUUUAUUUACUUCAGCAAUGUUGUAAAUAGGGUAUUGCAAUCGAUUGAAUACAUCACUGCGUGGCAGAGAAUAGCCAGUGCAGAGUUUGUCGAAGAAAACAGAAUUCUGAACAAAAGCAUUCUCCGACUCAAGAUGCUGUAUUUCGUGUUCAUGGUCGACUUACAGAGAUUGGAUUUGA